rnacentral:rRNA from 1 species
GAUGAACGCUGGCGGCGUGCCUAAUACAUGCAAGUCGAGCGAACAGAUGCGGAGCUUGCUCCUCUCACGUUAGCGGCGCACGUGUGAGUAACACGUGUAUAACCUACCUAUAAGACUGGUAUCACUUCGGGACACCGGCGCUAAUACCGGAUAAUAUAUUGCACCGCAUUGUUCAAUAGUGAAAUACGGUUUUUCUGUCACUUCUCGCUGGAUCCGCGCCGCAUUAGCUAGUUGGUACGGUAACGGCUUACCGAGGCAACGAUGCGUAGCCGACCUGAGAGGGUGAGCGGCCACACUGGAACGGAGACACGGUACAGACUCCCACGGGAGGCAGCAGUAGGGAAUCGUGCGCAAUGGGCGAAAGCCUGACGGAGCAACGCCGCGUGAGUGAUGAAGGUCGUCGGAUCGUAAAACUCUGUUAUUAGGGAAGAACAAAUGUGUAAGUAACUAUGAACGUCUGGAAGGUAACGAAUCAGAAAGCAACGGCUAACUACGUG